CCCCUCAGCGGCGGCGAGCCCGAGCGGGCGGGCUGCUCCCCGCCGCCCUGCCGGCCCCUUCCCGGCGUCGUAGCAUCACCCCACCGACGUGCCUGUCUCACGCCGAAAAAUGGACGAGCCCCCCCGGAUUGGCUGAGCACGGCCGCCCGCCCCGCCCUCGCUCCACCCCGCGCGCUCCCGCCUCCCUCGGCCGCCUUCCUCCCACCUCGCUGCGUGCCGCCCCGGCUCUCCCCGCCUCUCUCCAGUCAGGGUAAACGCGGGUUAUGAACGUAAAGGAUGUAAAACUGCUCGCGUUAUCAGAAAUGAGGGAAUCGGGCAGGCGUACACACAGUUCUAGCAACAGGACGAGAAGGAACGUCCUCAAGUUAAACCAGAGAUGGUUCCGGUUGGACAUCAGGAAAGAUUUCUUCUCAGAAAGAACAGCGAUGCACUGACACGGGCUGCCCAGGGAGGCGGUGGGAGCACCGCCUGUGGAGGUGAUCGAGGGAAGGGUCUUCUUCACCUAUAGAGUGAACUCCUAGUGUAGAGGAGUUCCGAACAGGAAAGACCCAGAAACAUCCCACAGGCACUGCACACAGUGACAGACUGGAAGAAACAGACGCCUGCAACUGUAGCUGCAGAAGUUGUUCUAUUCUAAGUGUCUGAGGGAUGGACAUGUUCCAGGUUGUUCGUGGCAGCAAACAACCCAGUUGUAAGAUGAUACUUGAGUUCUCCUCUUCCUGAGUCAAGAAAGUCAAUGUGAAGCCAAAAUUCCAAACGGGUAAAGAUCUGAGUGAAGACUGCUUCACUACGAAAUGAUAAAUGAAAUACAAGUUGCAAAAUCUACACAGUUACUACCUACAGAUAUCUUACGGAUCCUUCAGGUAUUGUUUUCCAAAAUCAUUCCCAUUAACAUCUUUGAACAUAGACUCAAGUGACUUGACGUUCACAUUUACUCACUGGUAGAGUCCAAACGCACGUUCCUCCGGAGGGUGGAUGCACUGUGUAUAUGGCUGUAGGCCUAGGCCUGCUUCCAGUGCUGCUCUCAUGGGGUGGGAACCUACAGGACCCACUCUGUUACUUUAUUCAUACUUGAACGUCUCUUAUCUACUAAGAUUUUGCUGGACUUCCUUUUCUUCUUCCCUUUUACUCAUUAUCUCUAGCUCAUUCUUCCUUUUUCUGGAGUUCAUUUGAAAAGUAAAAAAAAAAAGCGGAUGUGGAACUGUUUCAGUAUAAACAAGUUGUUUCUGCUCUCAUUGGACAGUCUGGGAUCUUUUGUCCUGCACAGGAAGAUCCCUCUCUGGAGGUGGCUGCUGAACAGAGAUCUUUCCUGGUUAACUGCCCCAAUAAGCUUUCUGCUUACAGUGUUUUAACACUUCUGUAACAUUUAAAUUCAACAUUGCAACACUUCACACUGUAACCGCAAAGAUUGUGGAUGUUGGGGAGAUAUUCUUCCCCUCUGCUCCACAAACUGACACGUUUGUUUUGGGGAACCUCGGCACAAAGUACAUUCCAUGUGACAGCACUAGGGAGUUCAAUGGAAGCAGAUUGCAGGCUGGAUUCAUGGAGAGAAAGCUGGAGUAAGUGACUUUGUCAUGAGGUAUGUUCGGAUAUAAAAUAAUCGUGGAUAGAGAGCAGAAAGAAGAAGGGAAAGGAGUUAAAUGAUGUUCUUUUACGUGCUUUGUGAGUCUCUGUAUUAUAGUAUUUAACUUACACUAAGAGAAAUUUCCACAUUAGAAGGAAUGAACUUACUGCACAGGACAAUAGACAGCGUGUGGGGAUAUCAGAUCUUACUGAAAAUACAGUAAAUACAUAAUAAAUACAUAAAUAAAGUGAGAAAAAAUGUAUUAGAAGUGUAUCUGCUUUGAUUUAAGCCACCCUUUAAAUUCUGAGAACACGUGCACCAUCCUCUAUUGCAUACUCUGCAUCUGAGAUUUUCAAAGUUUGCUGAGCUUCCCAUGCACCAGGACUAACUGCUGCUUAAACUGUGAAGAGAGGAGAUGUAAAUAUUGAUCGAUGAUGCCUAAAGAAAAAAUAGCAACAGUGCUGUUUGUGGCCUUGAUCAAAGGAUAACAAAGUUUGUUGAGAGCAACAUCCCUUAUUAUAGUGACAUGGCAGGAAGAAGUAAUGAAAAUAAUAUUCAUAAACUUGGUAAGAGACAGUAUUGCUCAGGCUGUCUGUCUGCUGACUACAAGGUAUCUUUCAUUACCCAGGCUAUUUUGGCACUACCUAUUAAUUUCCUCAAAUUGCUACGAGUCUUUUAUCUGAAGAUGCUUCUGUUGGGUAUUAAUGAAGAAGUGAAGUUACCCAGGCAGCAUGGGCUAAAGCUGAAACUCCCCCAGCAUCAUCUUUCUCGACCAGCAUUGUCCAUUAAGAAAAUGGGUCUGUAAGUGAUACUAUUCACCUAAACAAAAAAGAAACUGUUAUCAUGGCGUUGGUCAGCUGUGUGAUACCGAUACCUGGGCUGCCCUUGGGAGCCAGCCACCUUACAGAUAAUGGGGUGGUGUCCACUUUCAGGCAGAUUUGAAUCUUGAGUGUAAGAACUGCAGAGGCAGAGGAGACCUCAGAAUGCAGCCCUUCCCCCCCAGCUCUGUUCCUGUGAAUAUUCACAGCUAGGUUUCAUUCACGGGCAUUUAGUUCUGUAACUACAACAAUUCCAAUUAUUUCUGCAAUAUUUUGCAUAUGUAGUAUCAUGAAGAAACUAAAUUAUUGACCCUGGAAUUAGAACUACUGACAGAAAUGAAAGCAUCAUCAUUAGAACUACUGUAUAGAUGAAGCAUAUUCUAUUUAUCUUCUCAUACAUAACGUUAUUUAUUAUAAAGAUUAUAUAAUAUAUAUAUGUAUGCUAUAUUAUACAGAUUAUUUUAUAAUCUAUCACUAUAAAUGGAAACAGUUCAAUUAUGAUCCAAAGAUUCUGACAGUGAAGCUACCAGGCAAAGGAAAUGUUGACUCAUUGACUGGAAAGCACCAGUAAGAAUACAGGAAACUGUUACUCCAGCAUCUUUAUCCAUGUAAGCAAGAACCUACUUGGAUGAGCAAGAGCCUCAUCUGUGGAUGAGGUAAGACUGUAUGAGGGCCAUGUUUUGUGGGUGGCUUUUAAAGAGUCUGGCAAAGAUGACCAAGAAAGUGAAAUCAUACACAUCUCUUACACAUUUGUAGCAUAAUAUAGGAAAUUGCUAAGUACAACCACUACAAACUGGCUGGGGUCCAUAGAAACACUGUGAAAGGCUCUUCUCUGAAAAUGUGUAUGCUUUUCUCAGUGGUCCACAUUGUUAUGGACUGAUGGGAAACAAUCAAUGUAGGGUUGAUUGCAGGGAUCAAUCAACCUACAAAGUAGACAGUUGCACUUGAAAAGAUAGGACUCAACAUUUUAUUGCAAAGACAGAAUGAAAAGAUUACAAUUCCAACAAAAUCCAGACAUUCUGACAAGCUAGGUCAAUGAGAUUCUUCUAUGCAUUCUAUCUUGUAAAUUAUGAUGGAAAGGAUGGAAGCUGCAAGGCUAUCUUGUAAGGACUCCCUCACAGGUUUAGGAACAAGCUGAAGCAGAACUGCUGGAGCAUGUCAGGGCAAACUGACAACUUGCUCUAAAUUAGACAGGAUAUGCAGAAUAGUUUAAGACUGCAAGGCUACCUAGCUUCUUUAAAGCAUAUGUAAUACUAAUGUCUGGGGGCUACAAGUUUUGUGUGUGGCUCUGUAAUUGCAUCCUCUGGGCACAGUAAUCUCUCAAAACAAAAAGGAAAACAGGGAUCGGUUUGUUCUUCUUUGUAGAAGGAUAUAUAAGUACAUGAACAAAUGCUCCAAGUGACAUUUACAGUUUGAUUUCAAAAAUCACAUAAAGGAGUCCGCAGUAACACAACAAAGUUACAAGACUUGCAUAAGUACAUUGCAAUUUUUUUCACCAGAUAGUUUCCAGAAGUUCUCUUAGGCACGAUCUUACAUGAAUAAAUAAAAGAGUUCACAGUCUGCCAGUGCUGAGGACUAAAAGUUGAUUCAUGUUUUUUGCUUUAAGAAAUGGAUCAUCUGAUAAAGAAAAAUACUAUUUCAUUUUCGUGUAUGGUUAAAUUGCUAUUACGUGCGAAGCCAGUUAGUCUGAAGUAAGUAUUUCUCUGUGCACCAAAACAUGUUUUGGAUGCAAGACUAUGUCUGACCUUCAUGCAAAUCUGCUGAUUUAUAUUUGUCCCCCAAACCUGCAGGAACAACUAAAAGUACAUAAGCAACAAGUUGAGUAACUCUUAUCUCACCACCAUUACUUCUCACGUUACAGAUUCCGAGAAAUAUGUGCACAUGUAAGAACUACUUACAUGGGAGUGCAGCAGAAGAUACAUUUUGUGCCUGACUAUUACACUUUCUUCUGAAACGGACUUGAAGUGGCAGUCAGCCCGCAGACACACAUGAUGAGGACUUGAGUACUUCUUUUAGACACAUGAGAUUUUUAUAAAAACGAAGCUCAGAUAACAAAUUGAAAUAAAGUUAA